CAGAUUGUUGAAAAUAAAUUAAUUUCUUUCUUAAUGUUUUGUUGCAGCUCCUUGAUCAGUAGUUGUAUCAUGCAGUAGUAGGUGCCAGUUUACAUCUGUAUAGGUUUCAUAUUAUUGUAGUCUUUGCAAUGGAAUAUGUAGUUGUGAUUCUAGGUUACAUACUAUAGAUAAGCCUAAAUGGCCACAGUCUCGUAAACUGUGGAAAAGUUUGAGAGCUGUGAGCGGGAAAGUGGCAACUGAAGCUGAAUGUAAACUUAAAUAGUUUUAGAACUGGACAUAGAUAUUAGUAAUGACAACUAAUGAUUAAUAAUUAUGAGUUAGGCUAUGAAUAUAAUUAAUGAUUCAAAAAUUCAAAAACUGUUUUUAUAAUGCGGUGGGUCUUCUUAUGGUUAUAAUUUCAAAAUUCUUUUCUUCCAUUAAUGAACUG